GACGAACGCUGGCGGCGUGCUUAACACAUGCAAGUCGAGCGGUAAGGCCCUUUCGGGGGUACGACGAGCGGCGAACGGGUGAGUAACACGUGGGUGACCUGCCCUUACGCUCUGGGAUAAGCCUGGGAAACUGGGUCUAAUACCGGAUAUGACUCCAUGACGCAUGUUGUGGGGUGGAAAGCCUUGUGCGGCUAGGGAUGGGCCUGCGGCCUAUCAGCUUGUUGGUGGGGUGAUGGCCUACCAAGGCGACGACGGGUAGCCGGCCUGAGAGGGCGACCGGCCACACUGGGACUGAGACACGGCCCAGACUCCUACGGGAGGCAGCAGUGGGGAAUCUUGCGCAAUGGGCGAAAGCCUGACGCAGCGACGCCGCGUGGGGAU
rnacentral:rRNA from 1 species